rfam:Triticum aestivum genome assembly, contig: Triticum_aestivum_CS42_TGACv1_scaffold_578164_7BL
GAACUACUCCCUCUGUUCGGAAUUACUUGUCUCAGAAAUGGAUAUAUAUAGAACUAAAAUACAUCUAGAUACAUCCAUUUCUGAGACAAGUAAUUCCGAACGGAGGGAGUAGUAG